CUAAAAUUGAUGUCACCUGAGUCAGCUCUCCAUACUUGUUCUGAGGUGCGUGCUAGCUGGUGAAGAUAGUACCAGGCCCACGCACCAGGCCUCCAGUGUGUCAGCCCAGUCCAGCUCGUCCUACUCCUGCUCCUCGCACUAGCCCUGAGGUGCGUGUUUCCAGUCUGGCACAUCCUAAGCCAGCACCACGCACCAGGCCUCCAGUGCGUCAGCCCAGUCCAACUCAUCCUGUUCCUGCCCCCCGCACUAGCCUUGGGGUGUGUGUAUCCAGUCUGGCAUCUCCAGUACCAGCCCCACGCACCAGGCCUCCAGUGCGUCAGCCCAGUCCAACUCGUCCUGUUCCUGCUCCUCACACUAGCCUUGGGGUGCGUGUCUCCAGUCUGGUACCUCCACUACCAGCCCCACGCAUCAGGCUUUCAGUGCGCAGUCCCCGUCCAGAGCUUCCGAUGACAGUGCCCCGUCCAGAGCUUCCGACGACAGUGCCCCGUCCAGAGCUUCCGACGACAGUGCCCCGUCCAGAGCUUCCGACGACAGUGCCCCGUCCAGAGCUUCCGACGACAGUGCCCCGUCCAGAGCUUCCGACGACAGUGCCCCGUCCAGAGCUUCCGGCAACAGUGGCCCGUCCAGAGAGUCCGGAAACAGUGCCCCGUCCAGAGUGUCCGGCGACAGUGCCCCGUCUAGAGAUGGCCCACAGUCCGGAACCAAGAGAGACGGCCCACAGUCCGGAACCGAGUGAGACGGCCCACAGUCCGGAACCGAGUGAGACGGCCUACAGUCCGGAACCGAGUGAGACGCCCUACAGUCCAGAGCUCCUAGAGUCGCCCUACAGUCCGGAGCUCCCAGAAUCAUCCUUCUGCCUGAGGUCUACAGCGAAGUGCUUCAGCCCGAGGUCUACAGCGACGUGCCUCAGCCAGAGGUUAACAUUCACAAGGCAGCAGGGCCAGACGGAUUAACAGGACGUGUACUGCGAGCAUGCGCUGACCAGCUGGUUGUCGACCCAAUCUCCAUUGCACUGCACACUGCCUCACCCACCUGGAUAAAAGGAAUGCAUAUGUGAGGGUGCUGUUCAUCAACUACAGCCCGGCCUUCAAUACCAUAGUGCCCUCUAAGUUCACCACAAAGCUCACGGGCCGCCCCCAGGGGGUGAAGAAAAACAAACGAGCUGCUUGUGGACUUCAGGAGGACCAGGUUGGGCACGCCCCCAUCCUCAUCAAUGGGGCCGCCAUGUUCCUCAGCGUACACAUCUCCGAAGAGCUGAAAUGGUCAAACAACAUGCACACCGUGAUGAAGAAGGCACGACAGCGACUUUUCAACCUCAGGAUGUUGAAGAAAUUCGGUCUGAUUCCGAGGGCCUCCUGAGGGUCCUCACAACACCAUCGAGAGCAUAAUGUCUGGCUGAAUAUUUGUUUUAUUAUAUAUUUUUAUUAUAUUUUAAUUGUUUUAUUUCACUUUGUCCUGCAUUAUUGGACCUCAGAUUUCACUGUACCCUGUAAUGUAAUCUGCCACCCUGUACAUGUGACUAUUCAACUCUCUAAUCAACUCUCUAAUCUCUAAUCAACGCUCUAAUCUCUAUUCAACUCUCUAAUCUCUGUUCAACUCUCUAAUCUCUAUUCAACUCUCUAAUCAACUCUCUAAUCUCUAUUCAACUCUCUAAUUUCUAAUCAAUCUCACUGGAGAAAGCAUCAUAGCAAGUGAAAUAGUGCCCCUCUGUCUUAGUAUGUGUAGCCCAUGUAUCUGAUGCUGUCUGGUCACGUAUAGCAUUUACUUACUUGAGUCAUUUUUUCCCGAGUGGUGCAACGGUCUAAGGCACUGCACCUCAGUGCAAGAGGCGUCACUCUCUGGUUCGAUUCCAGGCUGUAUCACAUCCGGCCGGGAUUGGGAGUCCCAUAGGGCGGCGCACAAUUGGCCCAGCAUCGUCUGGGUUUGGCCGGGAAAGGGCCGUCAUUGUAAAUAAGAAUUUGUUCUUAACUG
rnacentral:lncRNA from 1 species